GACGAACGCUGGCGGCGUGCUUAACACAUGCAAGUCGAACGGAAAGGCCCUGCUUUUGUGGGGUGCUCGAGUGGCGAACGGGUGAGUAACACGUGAGUAACCUGCCCUUGACUUUGGGAUAACUUCAGGAAACUGGGGAUAAUACCGGAUAGGAGCUCCUGCUGCAUGGUGGGGGUUGGAAAGUUUCGGCGGUUGGGGAUGGACUCGCGGCUUAUCAGCUUGUUGGUGGGGUAGUGGCUUACCAAGGCUUUGACGGGUAGCCGGCCUGAGAGGGUGACCGGCCACAUUGGGGAUGAGAUACGGCCCAGACUCCUACGGGAGGCAGCGGUGGAGAAUAUUGCGCAAUGGGCGGAAGCCUGAUGCAGCAACGCCGCGUGCGGGAUGACGGCCUUCGGGUUGUAAACCGCUUUCGCCUGUGACGAAGCGCGAGUGACGGUAAUGGGUAAAGAAGCACCGGCUAACUACGU
rnacentral:rRNA from 1 species